rnacentral:rRNA from 1 species
AACGAACGCUGGCGGCAUGCCUAACACAUGCAAGUCGAACGAGACCUUCGGGUCUAGUGGCGCACGGGUGCGUAACGCGUGGGAACCUGCCCUUAGGUUCGGAAUAACUCCCCGAAAGGGGUGCUAAUACCGGAUAAUGUCUUCGGACCAACGAUUUAUCGCCUUUGGAUGGGCCCGCGGUGGAUUAGCUAGUUGGUAGGGUAAAAGCCUACCAAGGCGACGAUCCUUAGCUGGUCUGAGAGGAUGAUCAGCCACACUGGGACUGAGACACGGCCCAGACUCCUACGGGAGGCAGCAGUGGGGAAUAUUGGACAAGGGGCGAAAGCCUGAUCCAGCAAUGCCGCGUGAGUGAUGAAGGCCUUAGGGUUGUAAAGCUCUUUUACCCGGGAUGAUAAUGACAGUACCGUGAGAAUAAGCUCCGGCUAACUCCGUG